rnacentral:rRNA from 1 species
AUGGGUGUGCUUUGGAGCAAGAACAGUGAAUUCAAAAUGGAGUUUCACAAGCUUGUUCAUCACAUGACCACGGAAGAGGAAUUUGAGCAAGGGUGGCAGCAGAUGUUGGACAAGUACUCACUCAAGAAACAUCCGAUUCUGACGCAGAUAUACGAAGUCCGACAUAAAUGGGCUAAACCAUAUUUCAUGGGUGUAUUCUGUGCUAAAAUGACUAGCACACAAAGGAGUGAGAGCGCAAAUCACCUGCUGAAGGGGUACGUGCCUCCAGGAUGUCCAAUGCAUUUGUUCCUCAAGCAGCUUGAGAAGCUUCAAUUUGACCGGCAAUCUGAAGAAAGCUUCCAGGAGAAAAGAACAUCACUGAGUGGUGUAUCUCCUAGAUUUAACCUUCCGUUGGAGAGGCAUGCUAGCAAAGUUUACACGAGGGCCAUGUUUGAGAAGUUUGGUGAAGAGUGUACAAAUGUGGUGCACAUGUACUCGAUGAGAUUGUUCCUAGGAGGAUUUAUAAGUCGACACAUGUUGAAGCAGCGAACAGAGAGAAAUGGAGUAAAGUCGAGUUCAAAAUUGAAAUCAAAGAGGAUGAAAGUUUUUUCAGCUGCGAGUGUGGCAUGUUUGAACAUUCUGGCGUAG